GCUGCAGCUGUGUGCGUGUGGGUGUACUCGUAUUGGCUGCGUGUACGUGUGUGCGUAACUACACUGCAAAUUGUGACGGAUUCUUGUGGUCUUGAGGGGGAAAUAACUUGCUUUUGACAGGUGCGAUCGAGUGUGCCGUCUCAAAAAAAUAAAAAAGAAACGAACAACCUAGGAUGUCUGGUUGCAUUCUCUUUUUGCGCCACUGAUUAUCCGAAACUCAAGUGACAACAAUCAGCAAAUAAUCAUAAACUAAAUGGCAAUCGUGACAAUUUAAUCAUUGACUUUGUCGUGGGAAGGAUCAGAGAUCUAAGCUCAAGUUUACUCAGAGGAUUCCAAUUUCACAACUUCACUUAAUGGAUGAAAGGGGUUGCUUCUUGAUCCUCCGAGACCAAUUGAAUUUCACGACCUCCCUAAUGAUUUCUUAUAACAUGAAAUGGUGCAUACUUACAUAUGGACCAUUAACAGAAACCCGUAAAUCCGAACUUGUGCUGUUUUAUAUCUGUUACAAGACCGGCAUUAUGGGAGUCUGUCAAUGCAAACAACUGGUUUUUGGCAACAAAAUCAAUGACAAAUCUAAAAAACGAAUAACGGCGGAGUAAGGAUAAAAGUUCAACUUAAAAAAGGAUUACCUACGAAAUACAUAACUUUAAAAGCUAAAGAUGACUAAAUGGCCAAACGAAGUAUAAAAAUAAUCAGUAAUAGCCUAACAAGCAAUAAAUAAUCCUAAAACUUAAUUAAA